rnacentral:rRNA from 1 species
UACGGGGGGGGCAAGCGUUGUUCGGAAUUACUGGGCGUAAAGGGCUCGUAGGCGGCCAACUAAGUCGGAUGUGAAAUCCCCAGGCUUAACCUGGGGAACUGCAUCCGAUACUGGAUGGCUUGAAUCCGGGAGAGGGAUGCAGAAUUCCAGGUGUAGCGGUGAAAUGCGUAGAUAUCUGGAGGAAUACCGGUGGCGAAGGCGGCAUCCUGGACCGGCAUGACGCUGAGUGAGCGAAAGCCAGGGAGCCAAGCGGG